GACGAACGCUGGCGGCGUGCCUAAUACAUGCAAGUAGAACGCACAGUUUAUACCGUAGCUUGCUACACCAUAGACUGUGAGUUGCGAACGGGUGAGUAACGCGUAGGUAACCUGCCUGGUAGCGGGGGAUAACUAUUGGAAACGAUAGCUAAUACCGCAUAAUAUUAAUUAUUGCAUGAUAAUUAAUUGAAAGGUGCAAUGCACCACUACCAGAUGGACCUGCGUUGUAUUAGCUAGUAGGUGAGGUAACGGCUCACCUAGGCGACGAUACAUAGCCGACCUGAGAGGGUGAUCGGCCACACUGGGACUGAGACACGGCCCAGACUCCUACGGGAGGCAGCAGUAGGGAAUCUUCGGCAAUGGACGAAAGUCUGACCGAGCAACGCCGCGUGAGUGAAGAAGGUUUUCGGAUCGUAAAGCUCUGUUGUAAGAGAAGAACGGGUGUGAGAGUGGAAAGUUCACACUGUGACGGUAUCUUACCAGAAAGGGACGGCUAACUACGUG
rnacentral:rRNA from 1 species